rnacentral:rRNA from 1 species
UACGUAGGGCGCAAGCGUUGUCCGGAAUUAUUGGGCGUAAAGAGCUCGUAGGCGGUUUGUCGCGUCUGCUGUGAAAGCCCGGGGCUCAACCCGGGUCUGCAGUGGGUACGGGCAGGACUAGAGUGCAGUAGGGGAGACUGGAAUUCCGUGGUGUAGGCGGUGAAAUGCGCAGAUAAUCAGGAGGAACACCGAUGGCGAAGGCAGGAUCUCUGGCUGUUACUGACGCUGAGAGCGAAAGCAUGGGAGCGAACAGGAUUAGAUACCGUAGUC